UGCUUUUUCUAUUUCUUUUUUUUCCGUGGGAGUUAAUAGAGAGAGAGAAGAAGAAGAGCAUUGAGGAUUUUAAUGUAGAAAGAUAUUUGUAGAAGACAUCUUUCAAGAGAAAGGAUAGGAUGUGUUUGGGUGUUUAUGAGCAUGUUUGACUUCAGACAUGGUGGAUCUAACCAGAAGCUUUUGAUGGAUAAGAAACGUGGAAGCAAAAGAAUCAUAGGUAAUAAUGGAAUGUUUGAGACUAAGGUUGAGAAGCAGCUUACUUGUGACUGUGAGUGAAGCUGAAAUGCAGAGUGUCAAGAUACUAAGAUGAGAUUGAUGAGAAGUCUAAGAAAGACAACUUUACAAUUGCUCUGUUUCAUUACGAUGGGAUAGCAAGUGAGUGGAAUGACGAGUUUGAGUGGAGCUAAAUUUGAUUCAAUCUGAAUGUUAAUGUUCUUAAACCAAACCACAAAUCAAAGAGAUAUUGAGUCUGAGAUCGAGGUGAGCCAAGAAGGCAAAGUAAGGGAAUUGUCAUGGAUAAUGUUAACUCUAGAUUAAAGGUUCAAGGAAAAGCCGAACGCAUUAUCACAACCCUUAAAUUCGAAAAAGAAGAAGGAGACAUCACUCAACAAGGAAAAGAUACUAACUCUUCAACUAAAGGAAGAGUUAGCAGAGAUAGACACACGAAAUACAGAGUUGUACAAGAUUGGAUGUGGUGAAGAAGGAGAACACAUUUGCAUGGCUUAUAAAAAGAACCAUUGGGUCUCAUCUCUCCAAUCAUGUUGAGGAGUAAUCAACGACGGUGGAUUGAGGCGUACACGGCGGUGGCACUACCAGAGAGGUUAACUGUUAAAUUUUCUAAAUUCUACUCUUUUAAUCUCUCAAUCAAAUUAUCAGUAGUGGCUACAUGUAAUGGAGACUUAAAACGAAGGAUUCAAAAGUUUGCAGAUUCCUGGUGUGCCGAUUAUGUAUGUGAUGACUUACGGCUAUCCUGAAUUCUAGAAGCUUUGGUAACAAGAUCUGUGGGAUAACAAUUAUAGAAGGGAAAGUCAUGCUAAUAACGUGCUGCUCUCUUUUCUUUUGAUUAUACUUGUGAGCAGAUGCAACAGGUGGCAGAGAUGGUGAGAAUAAGAUAGCUCGAAUGAGAGUCUUGGAGAUGACAAUGUUCAGCAUAAUCAUCACAUGAAGAGCUUACCAUCGGUCCGUACCCCAGGCAUACGUCGUCUUUGAAGACAAGGGAAUCACCACUAACUCAAGGAUCGAUAACACAUCUAUAUGAUCUUUUGGUGAAUGGUAGCUCGGAAUCUUGGAAAAAGUCUGCGUACAUUUCAUCCAACGAUUAGAGAGCAGACUUUUGUUUUGUUUUUUUAUCUCAAGACUUUAAGAAAAAAAUGAGGUUUGUUUUUUUUAUCUUAACACUUUGAGCAUGGUGGUAGCAGUCUCUGCCUUUUGGAUUGCUCUUUUGCAGGCUGCAGUUAUUUCGCGAAGCAGUACAUGGUUGCUACCGAUAUACUUUGUAGUGUCCCUGGGAUGCUAUGGUCUAUUAAUAGUUUGAAUUAGUCUAAUGCAGUUCCUACCUGUCCUACAGAUGCAUUCUCUUGCAGCAUGGACUUUCUUUACCCUUUUCUUAAGAGCAGUUCUCUUGCAGCAUGUACUUAACCUUUUUCUUUCGUUGUUAACCUUGAAUUCUCAAAGCUUAUUAGGGUAUAAUUUAGUUCUUUGCAGAAUAUUACAGAGGCAAGCUAAGAGACUUCUUAAGCGUUAAUAGAGCAUUAACCUCUCACCUACAUAACAAUUGUAUUAUAAUAUUGUAUGUGGGAGAUGUACUUUGAGAAAUCAGGGUUAGCAAUUGGAAUUUUUAGGGCUUUAAAUAUGAGCUGAACAAGAAACUCUUCAAACACAUUCAUUUGUGUCGAUAGUUGCAUUUGUUUCUGUCUGAAACUCUGGUAAUAAUAAUAAAAACAUGCAUGGUAUGUA